rnacentral:rRNA from 1 species
UACGUAGGGACCGAGCGUUGUCCGGAUUCAUUGGGCGUAAAGAGCGUGUAGGCGGCCAUGUAGGUCCGGUGUGAAAACUCGAGGCUUAACCUCGAGAUGUCAUCGGAAACCAUUUGGCUAGAGUCCGGAAGAGGAGAGUGGAAUUCCUGGUGUAGCGGUGAAAUGCGCAGAUAUCAGGAAGAACACCCGUGGCGAAGGCGGCUCCUCUGGGACGGUACUGACGCGAUGCGCGAAAGCUAAGGGGAGCGAACGGG